GGUCUUCAGGUCAGUUCAUGCAAAGAUAGCCUAGACUCAACCUUCUUCAUACUUAGCAAAGACACUAGUGCUUAGGAGAAAUCCAUGGGUGUUUAUUAAAAGGAUGGAUGGCUUUUAUAAUAGAAGAUUAAUAUGUCGGAAUGCAUUGGAAAGCCUACAUCCUUGGGAGAGCUUGUUUCUGGCACCCAGCUAAAAGUCAGGAUCUGAGUAUGAAAGAUUUGGAUGAAUAGAGCUGGACCAAAACCCAAAAUGGCCAAAAGCAAGGAGAGGAAAUGGAAACAGCUGAGCCCUGCCUUGGCAGCUCUGUUGUUGACCUGGUCUGCUUCAGCAGUCCUAACACUCAUGGGGGUGCUUAGUGUCCCACACACUAGCAGUGUGGCGCCCUAAAGGAAGAAGAAGGUAUCUUCUCAGACACAGAGUAGGUUGUUUGUGGGGCCUGGAGAAGGGUUUUCAGAUUUUCCUUUUCUAUGGUAAAAGAGUGUUUCACCUUCUGUCCGGGCAGUCCCAAGAGAUAUGAUAUUUGUGACUUUGGCUAAGCUAUCAGAGGGAGACCCAGAGAGACAUGGUGAUAGUGAUGGGACAUGCAGCCUGUAGCUAGGACACUGGAUGAGAGGACAGGCUGUGUCCAAUGAGCCCCCCAGACCCGGUCUCCUGUCUUUCCUCUGGCUUAGACACCCUUUUCCAUUCAUAACUCCAGACAUACCCUCUGCCUCUUGAAACUGGAACACAUCUGCCCUGGCUUCGCCUGGGUGUGAUUUAUAAGAUCUCCCUGUAACUCCUCUCCCCCUUCUCCUCCUCUUCACCUCUGGGCUUUGGGGUUUCAGACUUUUUUUUUAAGCAGGCGUGUGUUUCUUGAGACUGGGUCACCUUGAUUUAUUAUGCCCUGGACUCAUUAACAAAAGACUCUGAGACAGGUCAUUUAUUUUCUGAGUGGCGAUUUCCUGUCCUACCCCAGCUCCACUCUGCAGGAACCUCCCAAAGCACAGACGGACAUUAAGGGCACUGUCACCACCAGAGACUGGAACUGAGCAAGGAAGGUGCAGAGGGCAGAAAACAUCCCUUGAAAGUUUUUCUCUUUAUAAUUCUCUCCAGAAACUUAGUUUCUCUUAGUUUUGAUCUUCAUUCUCCUGCCCAGGCAAAUGGGCCAAAGCUUUCCAACUAAAUUUCAAGGCUGUUUUUGUACAGCAACCAAUACUGUCCUUUCUUCACUAUUUUAUAUUUUAAUUAUCUAACAUGAUAUGCCAAAACCAAUACAAUUAAGUUAAUUAAAAACAAACAAACCAAGGCAGGCACUAGUGGGCACGUCGAGCGUGUAUUAGAUAAAUUAAAUGGCAAAAUUUGCUGCCCUGGAACGCAUUCAAGCUUUACAGUUAAUGCUUGGGCUUCAGAGAGAGUAGAAGGCAUCACGACUCUCAGAGAGGACCUUGGGAGAAAGAUGAAAGAUGCUGUUACUUCGGUUUAGACUGAAGACUGAGUUAUUAACUGUUUUCAGGUCGUGGGAAGGCGGUUCCACCCAGCAAUGAUGGUGACCAGCUGCUUUUUGACGUCCCUAAGGACAGAACAAAAGGGAGCAAAAUUAGAUUGUGGCAAAAAAAAAAAAAAAAAAAAACAACAACAACAAAAAAGGGAGAAUAAGUAGUCAUAAAAGUGAGUUGCCACGGCUAAACUCUAUUGAGAGAGAUGUGACGGGAUACAAGGCUGUAAAGCUGUUAGCCCCAUUUUAUAGAGCAAUGAAUGGCAAUUUGGAGAAGUGAAGAAACUUGCCUGACGUCACACAUCUGGGACGGGACUGAACCAGCUCUGGCUGACUCUACAGUAAUGUAUAGCUGACUCACAGGACAAAGAGAUGAAAAGCAAGUUAUGGGGGUGGGGAGUCGAGCUACGCAGUGCUCCUGGUUAAGAUGAGCCAUGUGUAGAAUUCGGGGAAAGCAGUCAUGUGAAGCUUAGAUGUUUGAGAUUGGGGAUUAUAUGUUCCUUUGUGCUAGGAGGGCGAAGACCACUCUAACUCUCAGCCCGAAAGAUGGGUUGAGUGGGCACAGUUCUCUCCAGGAACCCAGGAGAUUGGCUGUAUGUGUGGUGGUCUCUGUUGUUGGUUGUUGUGGGCAGCACUUCAAAAGGAAGACUCCAGUCACAGCAAAGUGAAGGUGUGGGAGUUUGGGGAUGGCUGAGCCUCAGGAAGAACAACUCAAUGACUCUUAGUGCACUGUCUCCUACUACACAGUCAUCCCUAUUUGAAGAGCAGUCAAGGUAUUUCCAGGCAGUUCUUUAAUGAACCACCAAAGUGGCCAGACUUCUGGUGAGGAGCCAGUGGUGGCUGGAUUGUUGUCUGUACUCGGUUUGGAUGGGGCCCACAUGGAGGGCAAAUGACAUAUACCUGUACUAUAUACUGCACACUCCCUCUGCCAGGGAUUGUUUAAGCAAACUACCUUAGUUCAAUCAGUCCAUACAACAACCCUAUGCAGUCAGCAUCAUUGCUGUCCUCAGAUAGGCAAGGAAGCUCAUGAAGUCAGCUCUUCCCCAUGGCUAGGACGAGGAGAAGUGGGACUGUGGAGCCCCAGACAGUCUGAGCACAGCGGCUGCAUUCUUAGCCACCAGGACUUAGCCUGACACGCUUAGAACUCUAUAGCUCUGGAGUCACUGGCUCAAAUGACAUAGCUUCUUGCUGCUGGGUUUAUAAGAAUGUCUAGCCAUUGUAAACAGUGUUCCAGUUUGGGGAUUUUUAUAAUCAUUCUUUCCUCAUCUCCAUCCUUAAGUGGGCUAGAGGGAAGAGUAAGAAGCAGUCACUCUUGACUCAGACUUUGGGUACUCACCCCAGACUGCUCAGUUAACGGCUUAGAUGGUAUCUAAGGGCCUGCUGGGUUCCUCUAUGAUAAAUCCUACAAGUAGUGGUGAAAGGAGAGGUGGCCAUACACCACUUUCAGACCUUAAGCCAAGUGUUUUUUGUGUUUUGUUUGUUUGUUUGUUUCUACCACUUGCCUCAUUCUCACAGGCCUAACAGUCCUUUGAGGCGGCUGUUAUCUGCACAGUUGUACUAAUGAGGGAGGUUGUGUAACUUGUCUGAUGUCAGGCUGGCAUUAUACAAAGGGGCUGUGACCUGAACCCUACCUAGGAAGACGACGCUCAGUCUGAACACACCACACAGCAUUCAAUGCUCAGCACAACACUAAAACCAGGCAGGCUUAGAAGGGAACUCAGGCCGGGCUCAGCUCUGCAGUUGUCCUAGCAGGAAAGGGAGGGGGCCUUGGGGUUCAGCCUUCGGUGUACAGCACUAUAACCGGACUAGACCAGCACCAUCAUUCCUAGGUUCUGCUCUGCCAGAAGCCUGGGGCCACGACAGGAUGCUACAUUCAAACCUUGGCAAUCUCUUCCUUCUUAAUUUAGGCUUCCUCCCAGGAGGGGAUCCUGAGGCAGGAACAUGAGAAAGGGAAAGGAAAAAUAAUAAGAGAUAAGUGAGAAAAAAAAGAGAAUAUUUAUAGGGCUUGUUAACAUCUAAUGGGAACCAGCUGCCUGGUUGGGGGUGGGAGAUUUUUGUUUGUUUGUUUGCAGGAGAUUUUUUUUUAAGGACUUUUCAUGUAUAUGUCUGGGAUGAAAAGAUAGGGAGAGAAGAAUAUACGUGUGUCCUGGAGCCCUGCUGGAGGCUGGGGGAGGAUAUUGGGCAUGAGAUUUCUGCUCUCCCGCCAGCCUUGCUCCACCCCCACCUCCUGCCUUCAUUUCAAACUGGAGCUGAUUCAAACCUGCUGCUCUUGGAAAGAGGCCAUCAGAACAGGCUCCAACAGAAAGCUGAUCCGUGAGGGGCUAUGAGUGUGAGGGAGUGGGGCAAUCACAAAGAACGAGAAAAUGAGACAAGGGAAUGGAAAAGCCUGCCUGCAGGAAGCUGGAAGUCCCACCUCAUCUACCCAGCCAUUGGCAGCUAGCAUCUUCAUCCAUCACUCAAGAACCAACCGGAGAAUAGGGCCUUCAGCAUUCACGCGCAGAUUCCUGAUCUGAGCAAAAGUUUUCAAAAUUCUGGAAUUAGAAAAUUUGAAGGUCGAAAAUACUUAUAUGGAACAUGAAGGACUGUGCCUUACACUUAUGUGGUUUGUUGUUGUUUAUCUGUUAUGGUUUUGUUUUUGCUUUGUUUUGUUUUUCUGGUGCUGCACAUAGGCCCUGAAGAAGCUUGGUUGCCGAGACAAGCCACCACAGCACACGGAACUCCAGGGCUACUCUGAUCAUCACGUAGGAUGAUUUAAGAAACCAUGAUCUCACUGCCCUUCAUAGAUGUGGAAAGCCAUGAACUGUGGUAGAUUUGGGAGUUAGAGAUAAGUACAGUUUUGGUACAGUGAUUGAACCAGUUAAGUGUUUAAUUAAUCCAGGCAGCUUCUCUGCACUGGGUCUGAACAUUCAUGAGAGGCUGUGUUACAUGCUUGGCAGCUGAGCCUUAUCAAUGCACACAUCCCUUAACACACUAGCCUAACCAUGGGAUAGUCACCCCUGUCUGGAGACUCACAGUCAUGGGCAGAACUGGAAUAGGGCAUGCAGGUAAAGGGUGUGAAAGGUUGCCUCCCUCAACAAAUUCAUCCAGACUGGUUCUUCCAUACAUUGGCUUCUCAUGCUUUUGGAUAUAUUUUUUAUCCAGCUUAAAGGUCCCUUGUUGUUUCAUUGGA